rnacentral:rRNA from 1 species
CCUACGGGAGGCUGCAGUGGGGAAUAUUGCACAAUGGGGGGAACCCUGAUGCAGCGACGCCGCGUGGGUGAGGAAGUACUUCGGUAUGUAAAGCCCUAUCAGCAGGGCAGCAAAUGCCGGUACCUGACUAAGAAGACCCGACUACCUACGUGCCAGCAGCCGCGGUAAUACGUAGGGGGCAAGCGUUAUCCGGAUUUACUGGGGGUAAAGGGAGCGUAGACGGCGUUCCAAGUAUGCUGUGAAAGGCAGGGGCCCAACCCCCGGACUGCAUUGGAAAAUGGCAUGCUGGAGUGCCGGAGAGGCAAGCGGAAUUGCUAGUGUAGCGGUGAAAUGCGUAGAUAUUAGGAGGAACACCGGUGGCGAAGGCGGCUUGCUGGACGGUAACGGACGUUGAGGCUCGAAAGCGUGGGGAGCAAACAGGAUUAGAUACCCCUGGAGUC